UAGGGGUGAAAGGCCAAUCAAACCUGGAGAUAGCUGGUUCUCCGCGAAAUCUAUUUAGGUAGAGCGUCAGACGAAUACCAUCGGGGGUAGAGCACUGAAUGGGCUAGGGGGCCUUACCGGCUUACCAAACCUAAUCAAACUCCGAAUACCGAUGAGUACUAUCUGGCAGACAGACUACGGGUGCUAAGGUCCGUGGUCGAGAGGGAAACAGCCCAGACCGCCAGUUAAGGUCCCAAAGUUGUGGCUAAGUGGGAAAGGAUGUAGGACGGCCAAGACAACCAGGACGUUGGCUUAGAAGCAGCCAUCGUUUAAAGAAAGCGUAACAGCUCACUGGUCUAAAUAAGCUGUCCCGCGCCGAAGAUGUACCGGGGCUCAAGCCACACACCGAAACUGCGGACUUGUUCUUUUAGAACAAGUGGUAGCGGAGCGUUCCGUAAGCCUGUGAAGGUGUGCCGUAAGGCAUGCUGGAGGUAUCGGAAGCGAGAAUGCUGACAUGAGUAGCGAUAAAGGGAGUGAGAACCUCCCUCGCCGAAAGCCCAAGGGUUCCUGCGCAAGGCCAAUCCGCGCAGGGUGAGUCGGCCCCUAAGACGAGGCAGAAAUGCGUAGUCGAUGGGAAACAGGUUAAUAUUCCUGUACCCGUGAGAAGUGACGGCCUCUGGACGUAGUCUUUCCUUAUUGGAUUGGAAGGGCUGGUAAGGAGGUCCAGGAAAUAACUCUCACGUAUGGACCGUACCCCAAACCGACACAGGUGGGCAGGUUGAAUAUACCAAGGCGCUUGAGAGAAUGAUGUUGAAGGAACUCGGCAAAUUGCCCCCGUAACUUCGGGAGAAGGGGGCCCACCGUGAAGGCAACUUUACGGUGGGGGCACAGACUAGGGGGUGGCGACUGUUUACUAAAAACACAGGGCUCUGCGAAGUCGCAAGACGACGUAUAGGGUCUGACGCCUGCCCGGUGCCUGAAGGUUAAAAGGAGGGGUGAGAGCUCUGAAUUGAAGCCCAGGUAAACGGCGGCCGUAACUAUAACGGUCCUAAGGUAGCGAAAUUCCUUGUCGGGUAAGUUCCGACCUGCACGAAUGGCGUAACGACUUCCCCGCUGUCUCCAACAUAGACUCAGCGAAAUUGAAUUACCGGUCAAGAUGCCGGUUACCCGCGGUUAGACGGAAAGACCCCGUGCACCUUUACUACAACUUCACACUGGCAUUAGGCCGAACAUGUGCAGGAUAGGUGGUGGGCUUUGAAACUGUGACGCCAGUUGCAGUGGAGCCUCCCUUGAGAUACCACCCUUGUUCUGCUUGAUGUCUAACCGCGGUCCGUUAUCCGGAUCCGGGACCCUGUGUGGUGGGUAGUUUGACUGGGGCGGUCGCCUCCUAAAUCGUAACGGAGGCGCGCGAAGGUUGGCUCAGAGCGGUCGGAAAUCGCUCGUUGAGUGCAAUGGCAGAAGCCAGCCUGACUGCGAGACUGACAAGUCGAGCAGAGUCGAAAGACGGCCAUAGUGAUCCGGUGGUCCCAAGUGGGAGGGCCAUCGCUCAACGGAUAAAAGGUACGCCGGGGAUAACAGGCUGAUACUGCCCAAGAGUCCAUAUCGACGGCAGUGUUUGGCACCUCGAUGUCGGCUCAUCUCAUCCUGGGGCUGGAGCAGGUCCCAAGGGUACGGCUGUUCGCCGUUUAAAGAGGUACGUGAGCUGGGUUUAGAACGUCGUGAGACAGUUCGGUCCCUAUCUUCCGUGGGUGUAGGAUACUUGAGAGGAGUUGCCCCUAGUACGAGAGGACCGGGGUGAACGAUCCACUGGUGGACCAGUUGUUAUGCCAAUAGCAGUGCUGGGUAGCUAUGAUCGGACAGGAUAACCGCUGAAGGCAUCUAAGCGGGAAGCCCCCCUCAAAACAAGGUAUCCCUGAGAGCCGAGGUAGACCACCUCGUCGAUAGGCCAGAGAUGUAAGCGUAGUAAUACGUUCAGUUGACUGGUACUAAUGGCUCGAUAGGCUUGAUUUG
rnacentral:rRNA from 1 species